rnacentral:rRNA from 1 species
UACGAAGGGGGCUAGCGUUGCUCGGAAUCACUGGGCGUAAAGCGCACGUAGGCGGAUUGCUAAGUCAGGGGUGAAAUCCUGGAGCUCAACUCCAGAACUGCCUUUGAUACUGGCGAUCUCGAGUCCGGGAGAGGUGAGUGGAACUGCGAGUGUAGAGGUGAAAUUCGUAGAUAUUCGCAAGAACACCAGUGGCGAAGGCGGCUCACUGGCCCGGUACUGACGCUGAGGUGCGAAAGCGUGGAGAGCAAACGAAGG